AUUGAACGCUGGCGGUAUGCUUUACACAUGCAAGUCGAACGGCAGCGCGGGCUUCGGCCUGGCGGAGAGUUGCGAACGGGUGGGUAAUACAUCGGAACGUGCCCAUUAGUGGUGGCUAGCUCGGCGAAAGCCGGAUUAAUACCGCAUACGACCUGAGGGUGAAAGCGGGGGAUCUUCGGACCUCCCGCUCUUGGAGCUGCCGAUGGCAGAUUAGCUAGUUGGUGGGGUAAAGGCCUACCAAGCCGACGAUCUGUAGCUGGUCUGAGAGGACGACUAGCCACACUGGAACUGAGAAACGGCCCAGACUCCUACGGGAGGCAGCAGUGGGGAAUUUUGGACAAUGGGCGCAAGCCUGAUCCAGCAAUACCGCGUGUGUGAUGAAGGCCUUCGGGUUGUAAAGCACUUUUGUCGGGAAAGAAAAGGACUGUGCCAAUACCACGGUUCGAUGACGGUACCCGAAGAAUAAGCACCGGCUAACUACGUG
rnacentral:rRNA from 1 species